rnacentral:rRNA from 1 species
AUUGAACGCUGGCGGCAGGCCUAACACAUGCAAGUCGAACGAGUAGCGGACGGGUGAGUAAUGUCGGGGAAAAUGACUGAUGGAGGGGGAUAACUACUGGAAACGAUAGUUAAUACAGCAUACAAGCGGAUGUGUCCAGAUGGGAUGGGCUUGAGGGUGGGGUAGCGGCUGACAAAUGAGACAAUCCCUAGCUGGUCUGCGUGGAUGAACCGCCACAUUGGUACGGAUGCUCGGUCCAGACUCCUACGGGAGGCAGCAGGUGGGAAUAUUGCACAAUGGUCGCAAGCCUGAUGCAGCCAUGCCGCGUGUAUGAAGAAGGCCUUCGGGUUGUAAAGUACUUUCAGCUGUGAGGCGUUACCCGCAGAAGAAGCACCGGCUAACUCCGUGCCAGCAGCCGCGGUAAUUC